UACGGGGGGGGUAAGCGUUGUUCGGAAUUACUGGGCGUAAAGGGCUCGUAGGCGGCCAACUCAGUCAGACGUGAAAUCCCUCAGCUUAACUGGGGAACUGCGUCUGAUACUGGAUGGCUUGGAUUUGGGAGAGGGAUGCGGAAUUCCAGGUGUAGCGGUGAAAUGCGUAGAUAUCUGGAGGAACACCGGUGGCGAAGGCGGCAUCCUGGACCAACAUUGACGCUGAGGAGCGAAAGCUAGGGGAGCAAACGGG
rnacentral:rRNA from 1 species